CAGUUAGUGUUUGAUUGAUUGGCUUUGCUCACCUAUUGUAUUUGAUGAUAAAUUUUAAAUUGAUAACUUUUAAAUUUUAAAUUUGCACUGCCCAUGUUACUGAUUCACUGUUCUUUCAUUGCUUUUUGUUGUUGUUAAUCAUUGUGAUGAGCUUUGUUAAAAUUUGCAUUGCCUAUAUUACUGAGUGUUCUUUCAGUGCUUUUUGUUGUUGUUAAUCAUUGUGGUGAACUUUGUUAAAAUUUGCACUGCCUAUGUUUAACAUUUAAACUCUCAGCUUCUCAGCCCUGUUUGAUUCUUCAUCUCAGGCAAUUGAAUUGAAUCAACCAGGCCUUCCUUUUCUUUUUCUUUUAGUUGAUUCUUAAUUUUUCUAAUAUAUGUAACUUUCUGAAUCAAGCGAAUCAGAUUAUGUAGUUUUCUUGAUUUGGGAUAUUUUCGAAGACGCAUUAGAAGAGCUAUUUUAUUAUUAUGUUUGCUAUAAUAAUAUUCACAUGUUCUGUAUGCUUGUGAUUGUUUCGGUGUUUACAUUUUCUUUCCAAGUCACUUGCUGUGGUUGUUCUCUGAGUUAAGGCUUUGUAUGUGUGUGUGAGAAUAUGUGAUAAUGUUGAAUGCUGUUGCAUCUAAUAGGAGUUCUUGGAGUACCCUCAUCUU